rnacentral:rRNA from 1 species
AUACGGAGGGUGCAAGCGUUACUCGGAAUCACUGGGCGUAAAGCGCGCGCAGGCGGGCUGAUAAGUUGGAUGUGAAAGCCUACGGCUCAACCGUAGAACUGCAUCCAAAACUGUCAGUCUAGAGUGUGGGAGAGGAAGAUGGAAUUAGUUGUGUAGAGGUAAAAUCCGUAGAGAUAACUAGGAAUACCAAAAGCGAAGGCAAUCUUCUGGAACACUACUGACGCUGAGGCGCGAAGGCGUGGGGAGCAAACAGGAUUAGAAACCCUGGUAGUCC